rnacentral:rRNA from 1 species
GACGAACGCUGGCGGCGUGCUUAACACAUGCAAGUCGAACGGAAAGGCCCUGCUUUUGUGGGGUGCUCGAGUGGCGAACGGGUGAGUAACACGUGAGUAACCUGCCCUUGACUUUGUGAUAACUUCAGGAAACUGGGGCGAAUACCGGAUAGGAGCUCCUGCUGCAUGGGGGGGGUUGGAGAGUGUCGGCGGUUGGGGAUGGACUCGCGGCUUAUCAGCUUGUUGGUGGGGUAGUGGCGUACCAAGGCUUUGACGGGUAGCCGGCCUGAGAGGGUGACCGGCGACAUUGGGACUGCGAUACGGCCCAGACUGCUACGGGAGGCAGCAGUGGGGAAUCUUGCACAAUGGGGGGAAGCCUGAUGCAGAAACGCCGCGUGCGGGAUGACGGCCUUCGGGUUGUAAACAGCUUUCGAAUGUGACGAAGCGUGAGUGACGGUAAUGGGUAAAGAAGCCACGGCUAACUACGUG